rnacentral:rRNA from 1 species
GACGAACGCUGGCGGCGUGGAUUAGGCAUGCAAGUCGAACGGUAGGAUACCUUCGGGUAUCUGAGAGUGGCGAACGGGUGAGUAACACGUAGGUGAUCUACCCUCAAGAUUGGGACAACCCAGGGAAACUUGGGCUAAUACCGGAUGAAAGCAGCAGUGAUGUUGUUUGAAAGGUGGCGUAAGCUGCCGUUUGGGGAUGAGCCUGCGCUCUAUUAGUUAGUUGGCGGGGUAAAGGCCCACCAAGGCGAUGAUAGAUAGGCGGCCUUAACGGGUGGUCGCCCACACUGGGAUUGAGAUACGGCCCAGACUCCUACGGGAGGCAGCAGUCGAGAAUAGUCUACAAUGGCCGAAAGGCUGAUAGUGCGACGCCGCGUGAACGAAGAAGCCCUUCGGGUGUAAAGUCUUUAUAUGUGAGCAGUGCUUUCUAUGUGAACAGCAUGGGGAGAGAGAUAUUAGCAUAUGAAUAAGCAACGGCUAACUCCGUGCCAGCAGCCG